rnacentral:rRNA from 1 species
UACGAAGGGGGCUAGCGUUGCUCGGAAUCACUGGGCGUAAAGGGUGCGUAGGCGGGUCUUUAAGUCAGGGGUGAAAUCCUGGAGCUCAACUCCAGAACUGCCUUUGAUACUGAAGAUCUUGAGUUCGGGAGAGGUGAGUGGAACUGCGAGUGUAGAGGUGAAAUUCGUAGAUAUUCGGAAGAACACCAGUGGCGAAGGCGACUCACUGGACACAUAUUGACGCUGAGGUGCGAAAGCGUGGGGAGCAAACAGG